UCCAUCGUGAGGUGGAAUCUGAAGGAAGCUGGAUAUGGGGAACAUAUAAACCCAUGGGCAAACCCCUGGUCUGACGAACAGAGGAUAAAAGUAUACAUGCGUGGGUGGCUGAAUUAUUGUGGGCUUGCAGAUAUGAAGAAUAGGAUAGAUGA
rfam:Clostridium sp. D5 genomic scaffold supercont1.5, whole genome shotgun sequence.